rnacentral:lncRNA from 1 species
GGAGCUGGGAAGACAGCGCUAAUGAGAACACUGAGAUGCAUUCCAGGCGAAAGGGUAACCCAAAAAUACGCGGAUACUGAGACUCAAGAGGCCACCCCAGUGUGGACCGCUGGUGCACGACAGAAUCGGGAUUCUGACCAGAGCUGUCUGGUCCCAGAGCCUGUGCUUGUGACUGUGAUGUGAUGCAGGAGAGUGGACUAUACCAGCGUGUAGACUGCCUGGAACAAAUAGAAACCCAGCUGAGUUCCUGCAAUUUACAUAGGUGAAUCUAGAAAUGGAAUUGCCUAAGGAUUUGGCAGAAGGUGAAAAAGAAGAGCUAAAGAGGAGCAUAGAAGGAGACACUUGGCCUUUGUGUCCAGAGAAGAAAGAGAAUGCCUUUGGGGAGGUUGCGAUCACCAGACGGCUGGCCCUCAGCAACACUGAAGCCCAGAAGUCGGAUUGCCCAGCGGCUUAUGGGGAGUGACCCCUUUGUUUCUCUGAAGCCGUCUCCUCCUAAUCCCCUUAGCUCUAUAAAAGCCCGCUGCUUUCUGUUCUUGGGGAGACAGACUCCAGCAAACCCAGGCUCCCAUCCACUCAUUUUGGCCAAUUUAAUUAAAUCUUUCUCCAUCUCCAAGCACCGGUGUCUCAGUGUUUGGCUUGCUGUGCAUCGGGCACACAAGCUUGAGAUUAAGAGGUUCAGUAUCGAUCAUUCUGUUUAAUUGCCUGAAACACAAGGCUCAAAUGAUCCUGAGAAGAAGACUGGCUCGCACACAGCCUAGUAGAGCUCAGUGCUGGACCGCUGUGAAAAAUUCCAAUCCAAUGGUGGCUUGUUUAUUUUAAAUUAUUCAAAAUCAUUUUAAAGCCUUAAAAAUGGAAGUAGUUGCAACUUCAUGUGGUGAAAUAACAUGGGUAUUUGAGAAGAGAAAUGUGAUAUUGUUUAUAAUGAUAAUAAUAUCGGCCACCACGUACUAGCCCUUACUGUGUUCCAGGUUUUCUACUAACUGCUCUGUAUACCUGCUCUUCAACCCAAAUAGUUCUCAGGGUUAGCACAGUGCUUCUCAUUUUCUGCUUGCUGUCUUCAUUUCUACUUUGUUAAUCUUAAUGCAUACACACUCUUUAUCUUAACACACUUCAAAUUUCUUUUGAAACGAGGCAGCAUUCUGAUCAAUGAAAAUAUUUUGGAGUGAUUUUCUAAAGAGUGAUCGUAAAGGCUUUAGUUUAUCUUAAAUUCUAGAGAAUGGAUGGUUUACCCAGAAGGAAGACAACAGCCGUUCCUGUUAAAUUAUUCUGCUAAUGUUUACUUUGGAAAACGGUGGUAUUUUAUGCAAACAAAAUUGGAAAGCCUCCAUUUGGGCUCUGCAGGGACAAAGGCCUUUCCUGUGACUAAGGAUUGUCUGGUGGGGCUUCUGGAGGAAGGCUUCGUCAAUUCCACACCUGCCCGUGGAUCACACGGGGCAUGUGGGGUGGGUUCUAGAAUGAAGUCUGACUCACUCUUUUUCAAUAUAAAUAAUGUGUAUUCAUAUACAUGUAAUUGUUGUACUUUAUGAACAAUUUAUAUAUGUGUGUGCAUAUAAAUAUACUAUGUAUGCGAUCAUUUCUUUAAGCUAUUUCUCCCUAAUUAGCCCUCCAUUAAUUGUGCAAACUACUUAUGCACAAUAACCUAUUGAAAUACAAACUGUUCAGACAAUUCAGACUUCCAGAGAGGAGGACAGCUGCUCACAGAUGAGGACUCUUGCCCUUGGCAAGCUGUUUUUGAGGGAGCUGUCAGAAAUCUGAGAGGGACAACUAACACCUCCACUCAAGGGCAGGAGAAGCGCCCUCCAGCUGGCAGCUCACUCUAUCACUUGGGUGGACGUUCCUUCUGGGGCUGGGAUCCCUUUAUCUAUCCCAGUCACACUGCCAUUGGGAGAGGCUUUGGGAGGGCGGGGAGGGGACAUCAGGUGAGGUCAUUGCUCAAGAAUCAGGGUUGUUGACUCAAAGAUCCUCUCACGAAUUUCCAGGUGCCUUCUAAGCAAGGUUUAAAGGAAACUACACAACAAAGCAAGUGGUCCUUAGAAUCUGAAGGACAAGGCAGUUCACUGUCGCUAAAUGGAAGCUUUGUUAUUAAAAGAGCUCUUAUCUGAAAAUUUGCGAAGUCACGUAGCCAGAGCAUGCACAGAAGAAAUUUUGACCUGAAAUGACCAUGGAACCAAAGAUUCUCCUCCCCACAGAUCCAAGGAGCAGGACACAACCCCGAACUUGAAAGUCAGACUCUUACCAGAAGUGAGAGGUCCAUCAUUCUGGAAGAUCUGGUGUUAGAAUUCCUUACCCACCUUACCAUAAAUGUUUAGAACCUCAUCAUAAAUGUUUAGAACCUCAUCAUAAAUGUUUAGAACCUUACCACAAAUGCCUGAAGCCUACCACUCAAAACCUGUCCUGCCAGUGUUUCUGUGUGCCAGCCUCUUCUCCCUAACCUCUUAGAUUUUGCCCCAAAUCGUGAAUUGGGGAGACAGAUCUGAUGGCACACGCCCCCUGUCUCCCUGCAGAUUCAUCUCUCAUAAUAAACCUGACUUCUCCCCCAAAAGCUGAUGCCAUAGUUAAUUGGUUUAUGCAUAUUGGGCAAGAGAACCCAAUUUUGUGCAGUAACAAUAGUCUUCAG